CUGUAUAUGUUGUCAGAGAAGAGAAACGUAAAGUUAAUUUUCUGUUCCAUAUUUUGUUUUAAUUAUUAAAUACAAAUUAUUAAAAAUAGGUAUUGUCAAUAAAAUUAUAACAUUUUCAUAAUAAAAUGGAUCCAGCACUUUUGAGAGAACGAGAGCUCUUCAAAAAACGAGCUCUUUCAACACCUGCAGUUGAAAAAAAGAAAAAAGAUCGUGAAAAAGAAACCAUUCGAGAUGAACCAGCUUCAAAGAAACCCAAAACCUCUUCAGGAUCCAAUGCACCAAAAAUGGAUAUUGUCAACUACAAAACGAUGGCAGGAAGUUCACAAUAUAAAUUUGGUGUCUUAGCAAAAAUUGUCAAGCAUAUGAAAACUAGACAUCAAGAAGGUGAUGAUCAUCCAUUAACUUUAGAAGAAAUUUUAGAUGAAACUAAUCAAUUAGAUGUAGGAACUAAGGUAAAGCAAUGGCUUCAAACAGAAGCUUUAAUACAAAACCCAAAAAUAGAAGUGACUUCGGAUAAUCGAUUCUGUUUCAAACCUAUGUACAAAUUAAAAGACAAAAAGUCGUUAACCAGGCUCCUGAAACAACACGAUCUCAAAGGUCUUGGUGGAAUAUUAUUAGAAGACAUCCAAGAAAGUCUUCCUCAUUGCGAAAAACAUUUAAAGAGCUUACAAAAUGAAAUUUUAUUUAUAAAUCGACCUCUAGACAAGAAAAAAAUAGUCUUUUAUAAUGAUAAAACAACUCAACUUCCAAUUGACGAGGAAUUUCAAAAAUUAUGGCGAGCUGUAGCUGUAGAUGCGAUGGAUGAUCAGAAGAUUGAUGAAUAUCUAGAGAAACAAGGCAUUAGAUCUAUGCAGGAUCAUGGACCAAAGAAACUUCCUCCAAUAAAAAGAAAGAAGCCGAAUAAUAAGAGAAAGAAUCUUAAGAAACCAAGAGAUAAUGAACAUUUAGCAGACGUUUUAGAAACUUAUGACGAUAAUAAAUAGAUACAAAGAUUUCUGUUUUGAAAAAAAAUAAUUCUUAAAAAUAAGAGAAGAUUCAUAAAGCUAAUGGACAUAUCCGAAUCUCCAAUGUUGAUUGUUAAUUGUGUAAUGAGUUGAAAGCUUAAGUAAUAAUGAAACAUACAUCGGGGCUCUUAUGAAGUAAAGAGAAGACUUUUCGAUGAAUAUUCAAAUGCGUACUAUGGCUAGAAUCACAAACGGAACAACGUUUUAUCCUCAAGCUUCCUAUUAACAUUUGACCGGGAUUCUUAGCUAAGCUGACUAUACAAACACCAGGCUAUAAAUUUAAAUGUCAGUAAUCAUGAUGUUUUCGUGGGCACGAUCGACGAUAAAUGAUGCCAAAGAACUAAGAGUAGUGUAGUCCAAGUGUAUCUGAUCGUAAGACAGAAAAAGACAGAAUAGCGAUGAGGAAGAAGCAAAAGUACAAGUUCAGUGAUGCGACCAUGGACGCGCGUGUGCUGCAAAUCAGCCAACGUCUCUCGGUAUAAUCCCAUGUUUAUAGAUCGAAACACAUAAAUACAAUUCAACUAAGUGGAG